rnacentral:rRNA from 1 species
UACGGAGGGUGCAAGCGUUAUCCGGAUUUACUGGGUUUAAAGGGUGUGUAGGCGGGCUUUUAAGUCAGUGGUGAAAUCUCCGGGCUCAACCCGGAAACUGCCAUUGAUACUAAUGGUCUUGAAUUUUGUUGAGGUAGGCGGAAUAAGUCAUGUAGCGGUGAAAUGCAUAGAUAUGACUUAGAACACCAAUUGCGAAGGCAGCUUGCUAAACAAAUAUUGACGCUGAGGCACGAAAGCGUGGGGAUCAAACAGG